rnacentral:lncRNA from 1 species
CUGCAGUAGUUACCAGCCAGCUGUCUGGCCUUCCCAUCUGCUGUGAGGCACCACCCACGAGCGAGGCAGCAGAAGAGAAGAAAUGCACUUGUGGAGCAGUGGAUGAGGCCAAGCCUGCAGAAGAACAAUUUCCAGCACUUACUGCACCUGCCAACCUGCGGAGCUUUUGGGCAGCACUUGACUCUGUGGCAUGAAAAUAUGGAGUAUUUGUCCCUUACAAACAUGUCUGUGCUGUGACACAGACUUAAGGAAACUGGUCUUGUAUGUCUGUGGUUUUUUUGGAGGUGAGUGGGAGACAACUCCAAUAUUUAAUUAUCUGCUCCAGCAAUCCUUGACAUCAGCUGAUCACCUAAUAUUACCAGUUGGAGGUUGGGAUUUAAUUUUAUUGAUGGUACAGUCAUCUCUGAAGACUCAUUGUCUAGGAAACAGUGGACUAGCUUUACACGUGGCAUGGUUUGGAGCCGCAGGGGGAGUAGAGCUGCCGCGGCCGGGCCAGCCACCUCCGGGUCCAUGAGCCGCCGCCAGCCGCCGUCGCCAGCCGGGACUGCCGCCACCGCCGGGCCCAGCUCCCCCAGCCCCGCCGCCGCUUCCGCCGCCGCUCCGCCGCCCUGUCGGAGGUGAGUCCCGCGGCCGGGCCCGCCGCCGCCCGCUCUCUUCAACGCCGCCCGCGGGCCCCGGUUCCUGUCA